CCAAAGGCCCUUUUUAGGGCCACCCACCUCCUCCUUUAAAAGAGCU
rfam:Myotis davidii contig72872, whole genome shotgun sequence.